GGGAUAUCUGAGGGGGACAUGGGAGAGAUGGGGGAUAUCGGCAGGGGAGAGAGAGAACAUGAGAUAUAGAUGGACUAUUGGCUACUAAGCUGAACCUGGAUGACAUGGCAGAUCACAGUGGAGGAUAGAAACAUCCACAUCAUUGAGGAAACAUCGAGAUGUUAUCAAGAGUCUUACUGUUGCAUCACACUCAUCACGAAGACAAAUAGUGUCGUUCUGAACUAAAAGAAGAGUGUGAGGGUGUUGUGAGUUUAGUCAUCAUAAUCCCCAACAUUAGACUUCUGCCUCUACACAGCUUUGUCCAGUAUAAUGUUCAACACGCCUUUUAACAGAAAGCUUUAGCCAGGUCACACCCACUAACAAACAGCUUGAGAAAAUGUUAUUGUCUGUGAUGAUAAAACCGGAAGGCUGAGAGGAGUCAGUCAGUUAAUUAGCUAGUUAUUUUUUGGUCAGUUAGGUAGGUAGGUAGUUAGUCAGCCAGUCAGUCAGUUAUGUGUCCAUCAGCCAGCCAGUCAGCCAGUCAGCCCAGCCAUCAGUCAGCCAGUCAGUCAGUCAGUCAGUCAGUCAGUUAUGUGUCCAUCAGCCAGUCAGCCAGCCAGUCAGCCAGUCAGCCAGUCAGUCAGCCAGUCAGCCAGUCAGUCAGCCAGCCAGCCAGUCAGUCAGUCAGUCAGUCAGUCAGCACAUGCUCAUGUACAACACAUACCAUAAUAAAAUGAUGACUUGCAGUUGAAGUCAGAAGUUUACAUACACCUGAGCCAAAUACAUUUAAACUCAGUUUUUUCACAAUUCCUGAUAUUUAAUCCCAGUUACCACUUUAUUUUAAGAAUGUGAAAUGUCAGAAUAAUAGUAGAGAGAAUUAUUUAUUUCAGAUUUUAUUUAUUUCAUCACAUUCCCAGUUGGUCAGAUGUUUACAUACACUCAAUUAGUAUUUGGUAGCAUUGCCUUUAAAUUGUUUAACUUGGGUCAAACGUUUCGGGUAGCCUUCCACAAGCUUCCCACAAUAAGUUGAAUGAAUUUUGGCCCAUUCCUGCUGACAGAGCUGGUAUAACUGAGUCAGGUUUGUAGGCCUCCUUGCUCGCACACGCUUUUUCAGUUCUGCCCACAAACUUUAUAUAAGAUUGAGGUCAGGGCUUUGUGAUGGCCACUCCAAUACCUUGACUUUGUUUCCUUAAGCCAUUUUGCCACAUCUUUGGAAGUAUGCUUGGGGUCAUUGUCCAUUUGGAAGACACAUUUGUGACCAAGCUUUAACUUCCUGACUGAGGUCUUGAGAUGUUGCUUCCAUAUAUCCACAUAUUUUUCCUCCCUCAUGAUGCCAUCUAUUUUGUGAAGUGCACCAGUCACUCCUGCAGCAAAGCACCCCCACAACAUGAUGCUGCCACCCCCGUGCUUCACGGUUGGGAUAGUGUUCUUCGGCUUGCAAGCCUCACCCUUUUUCCUCCAAACACAACGAUGGUCAUUAUGGCCAAACAGUUCUAUUUUUGUUUCAUCAGACCACAGGACAUUUCUCCAAAAAGUACGAUCUUUGUCCCCAUGUGCAGUGGCAAACCUUAGUCUGGCUUUUUUUAUGGUGGUUUUGGAGCAGUGUCAUCUUUCUUGCUGAGCGGCCUUUCAGGUUAUGUGGAUAUAGAUGCUUUUGUACCUGUUUCCUCCAUCUUUACAAGGUCCUUUGCUGUUGUUCUGGGAUUGAUUUGCACUUUUCGCACCAAAGUAAGUUCAUCGCUAGGAGAUUAUUUGUACAGCUGAACGUGGUACCUUCUGGCGUUUGGAUAUUUCUCCCAAGGAUGAACCAGACUUGUGGAGGUCCACAAUUUAUUUUCUGAGGUCUUGGCUGAUUUCUUUUGAUUUUCCCAUGAUGCCAAGCAAAGAGUCACUGAGUUCAAGGUAGGCCUUGAAAUACAUCCACAGGUUCACCUCCAAUUGACUCAAAUUAUGUCAAUUAGCCUAUCAAGAAGCUUCUAAAGCCAUGACAUAAUUUUCUGGAAUUUUCCAAGCUGUUUAAAGGCACAGUCAACUUAGUGUAUGUAAACUUCUGACCCACUGGAAAUGUGAUACAGUGAAUUACAAGUGAAAUAAUCUGUCUGUUAAUAAUUGUUGAAAAAAAUGACUUGUGUUAUGCACAACGUAGAUGUCCUAAACGAAUUGCCAAAACUAUAGUUUGUUACAAGAAAUGUGUGGAGUGGUUGAAAAACGUGUUUUAAUGACUCCAACCUAAGUGUGUGUAAACUUCCGACCUCUGUCUCUCUGAUGACUUUGUAUUAAUAAACACUUUUUGACAAACAGGACGAUAUUGUGUGUCGUGG
ensembl:lncRNA